rnacentral:rRNA from 1 species
UACGAAGGGGGCUAGCGUUGCUCGGAAUCACUGGGCGUAAAGCGCACGUAGGCGGCUUUUUAAGUCAGGGGUGAAAUCCUGGAGCUCAACUCCAGAACUGCCUUUGAUACUGAGAAGCUUGAGUCCGGGAGAGGUGAGUGGAACUGCGAGUGUAGAGGUGAAAUUCGUGGAUAUUCGCAAGAACAUCAGUGGCGAAGGCGGCUCACUGGCCCGGUACUGACGCUGAGGUGCGAAAGCGUGGGGAGCAAACAGG